GCCGGGCGCGGUGGCGCGCGCCUGUAAUCCCAGCUACUCGGGAGGCUGAGGCUGGAGGAUCGCUUGAGCUCAGGAGUUCUGGGCUGCAGUGCGCUAUGCCGAUCGGGUGUCCGCACUAAGUUCGGCAUCAAUAUGGUGACCUCCCGGGAGCGGGAGACCACCAGGUUGCCUAAGGAGGGGUGAACCGGCCCAGGUCGGAAACGGAGCAGGUCAAAACUCCCGUGCUGAUCAGUAGUGGGAUCGCGCCUGUGAAUAGCCACUGUACUCCAGCCUGGGCAACAUAGCGAGACCCUGUCUCUU
rnacentral:SRP_RNA from 1 species